rnacentral:rRNA from 1 species
UCAGGAUGAACGCUGGCGGCGUGCUUAACACAUGCAAGUCGAACGAUGAACCUGUGCUUGCACGGGGGAUUAGUGGCGAACGGGUGAGUAACACGUGAGUAACCUGCCCUUGACUUCGGGAUAAGCCUGGGAAACUGGGUCUAAUACUGGAUACGACCUCUCAUCGCAUGGUGUGGGGGUGGAAAGUUUUUGCGGUUUUGGAUGGACUCGCGGCCUAUCAGCUUGUUGGUGAGGUAAUGGCUCACCAAGGCGACGACGGGUAGCCGGCCUGAGAGGGUGACCGGCCACACUGGGACUGAGACACGGCCCAGACUCCUACGGGAGGCAGCAGUGGGGAAUAUUGCACAAUGGGCGAAAGCCUGAUGCAGCGACGCCGCGUGAGGGACGACGGCCUUCGGGUUGUAAACCUCUUUCAGUAGGGAACAAGGCAUCAUUUUUGUGGUGUUGAGGGUACUUGCAGAAGAAGCACCGGCUAACUACGUGCCAGCAGCCGCGGUAAUACGUAGGGUGCAAGCGUUAUCCGGAAUUAUUGGGCGUAAAGAGCUCGUAGGCGGUUUGUCGCGUCUGUCGUGAAAGUCCGGGGCUCAACUCCGGAUCUGCGGUGGGUACGGGCAGACUAGAGUGAUGUAGGGGAGACUGGAAUUCCUGGUGUAGCGGUGGAAUGCGCAGAUAUCAGGAGGAACACCGAUGGCGAAGGCAG